CCCUUAGAUGUCCUGGGCCGCACGCGCGUUACACUGAUGCAUUCAACGAGCUUAUAACCUUGGCCGAGAGGCCUGGGCAAUCUUGUUAACGUGCAUCGUGAUAGGGAUAGAUUAUUGAAAUUAUUAAUCUUGAACGAGGAAUUCCUGGUAAACGCAGAUCAUCAUUCUGCAUUGAUUACGUCCCUGCCCUUUGUACACACCGCCCGUCGCACCUACCGAUUGGAUGGUCCGGUGAAGCCUCGGGAUUGUGGUUCUUGCCGCUUUAUUGUGGCGUGACCGCGAGAACUUGUCUAAACCUUAUCAUCUAGAGGAAGGUGAAGUCGUAACA
rnacentral:rRNA from 1 species